CAGGGAGAGAACUGAACCAGGACGCAGUCAGACUGUGCCAAGAGGGGCAGCAGAGAGGCGCAGAUCGUCCCUCAGGUGACAGAACAAGAGCCGUGACCCUGUUAGCAUGAGGCUAUGGACCGAAACUGAAGAAAAGGGUAGAAAGAGCGAAAGUGCGACAUGCAGAAAGUGCGACCGAAGGCGGAGCUGAGGAUUCUGACUGAGUGUCAGUAUUCUCAUCCCGUAGAAACUCUCUUGGACCUUCAGGAGGCUCGGUCUCGGUUUCCUGAUCUUUCUUUGUAUGCUGAUUAUUACUGUUUCCCAAACAAGGAGACUAAAAAGCUAGUCUUCCUGGCGGGCACGCUUCCUGUUUUAUAUGAAGGAAGUACAUACAAUAUUCCAGUGUGUGUUUGGCUACACGUGACCCAUCCAGAGUCCUGCCCUCGCUGCUACGUUUGUCCGUCCGCCUCUAUGGUAAUCAACCCGUCCUGUCCCUGCAUCAAUGCGUCGGGUAACAUCAGUCUGGACGGGCUUACUAAAUGGACUCGGGGUGUUUCCAGCCUAUCAGAACUGCUGGCUGAGAUGAUACAGGUCUUUCAAAGAGAUACGCCGAUUUAUGCUAGGUGCCCUGUCCAAGCUCCAUCCUUUGCAGAUGUGCACCUGUCAGCUGUCAAAGCUCCGGCCUCUGCAAAUGUGCAGUUGUCAUCUGUCCGAGCUCCAUCUACUACAGCUCCCCUCCCUGCUGGCGUGCACCUGUCAGCUGUCCAAACUCCAUCCUCUCCAGUCGUGCACCUGUCACCUGUUGAAGCUCCGCCACCUGCAAGGAAGCAUCAGUCACCUGGUCAAGCUUUGCCCCCUCUUUCCAGCAUCCAAAAUAUUUCUUCCAGAUCUUCCCCUCUGAAUAUACAACUGCCCAACCCCUCCUCUCACCUAAGUGGACACAAAGCUAGUGGAUGGGACCAGAGCAGCCAGGGGGGGGUGCGUUCGUCCUAUGUAGAAGAGCUUCAAGGAAUCGACUUCAGCGCCCCUCCUUUGUCCUCCAACGUCAGCACUAAUCCGUUCUUAGGUUCCGCCUCAUCAGGUGACACUCUUGUAGACCCCCUCAGCAGCACCAUGGCAGCUCUGAUUUUGGAAGAAGGAUCCAGUAGAAACCACCAGGAUGGCUUCACUGCUCCAAAGGUCACAUUUAAAGGAGCUCAGGACAGUGCCACCGCAGGUUCUGGAGCAGACUUCAGCAAGCUGGCUGCUCGGCUCCCAGCGGACCAGGCAGCAGUCUUCCUCGCUUUGAUGACCUUGCAGGGGCAGAGUUUCAGUCCUGCUGAUGCUCUAGAAGCCGUCCAGCUCAACAAGGAUUUCUCAUCAGCACUGAAGUUCUUGACUCACACCUGCCCCAUCUGUCAUGAACAGGUGUCCUUCAGCAAGAUUGUCACCAUGACUCACUGUUCCUGCUUCCUGUGUCAGGUGUGCUUCACAGCUUUCUUCUCUGUAGCUAUUAAGGAGCGCAGUGUAGAUCAGUUGGUCUGUCCUCAAUGUGGUAAGCCUGAGGUUCGAGCUCAAGGAGGGCUGGAGGACGCCACUGAGUACUUCAACCUGCUGGAUACACAGAUUCGUCACUACUUGCCUCGUGACAUCCAUGAACUCUUCCAGAGGAAGCUCAGAGACCGAACUCUUCGGGAAAUGCCCGACUUCUGCUGGUGUGCCCAUUGUUCAUUUGGGAUUCUCCAUGAGGCGGAGCGUCUCCGGAUGGACUGUCCCAGCUGUAAGAAGAGCACCUGCUCUCGGUGCAGGUCACCUUGGGCCCCCCAGCAUCAAAGACUCUCGUGUGAGCAGUUCAAGGCUUGGCAGGAGCAGAACCAGCUAGACCAUCACGGCUCCACCCCGAUCUCUAACAGCAUUGAAUGUCCCGGCUGCCGCUCCGUCUUCAGCCUGGCCAGAGGAGGUUGCCUGCAUUUCACCUGCACUCAGUGUCAGCACCAGUUCUGUGGCGGCUGUGCCAGGACCUUCACAGCAGGAUCUGCCUGUGGUUUCUCUGCCGAGUGUGGAACCAAAGGCCUUCAUGCCCAUCACCCCAGAGACUGCCUGUUUCACCUCAGAGACUGGAGCGUGAGCCGCCUUCUCCUGCUGCUCCAGCAUUACAGAAUAUCUCCAGCCUGGAUAAAACCAGCCAGUGGCAGCUCAUCUGAUGGCACACAGACAGCUGUAUGUUCUGUGUUGGAGCUCAGAGAUGAUGGCAGCAAAAGGGAGGAGCCAUGUGGACGUCCAACACCGCAGGGGUUUCAAGGAUACUGCCAGUAAAACCAGCUCCCCCAAUCAAAGUCUAGUUCUAGCCCUGUUCUCUCCACUUAGUCCUGUUCCUCUUCAGCCCGGCAGAGAUGGUGGCAGAACUCCAGCGAUGGCGAAUCCCGGUGCCGUCCAUGAGGCCCGAUGAGCCGGAGCCAUUGUAUGCACAUCGACUGCGCCUUAUGUUGACCAAUCACAUUCCUCUCCGGUACUAACGGUGUUCUUCACUGACGCUAUGAGAGACGGCUGAAGCCCCGCCCUGUGCGACUGUCUUCUUCCAUACUUGUGUACCAGCUGGAGGACGUCUCCAAUAACUCUCCAUUGGGUGACAAUGACAUCAAGGGUGUGGCCAAACCUGGCUAGUAACUUCUGAUUAGCCCCUAGUAUCCACAGGAAGAAAAAGAUCAACCUUGAUAGGGACCAAACAUCACUGAGUAGCUAAUUGAAGCUUACUAAUAAACCAGCACUAGGCGAACAAGCGCUCCAGGUGUUAGUGUUUUAACUGUUUAUUUAACAAAUAAAUAUAGUUUCAUGUU